rnacentral:rRNA from 1 species
CUCAAAUUUGAAAUCUGGCCCUUGGGUCCGAAUUGUAAUUUGUAGAGGAUGAUUUUGGUGCGGUAUCUUCCGAGUUCCUUGGAACAGGACGCCUUAGAGGGUGAGAGCCCCGUACGGUUGAAUGCCUAGCCUCUGUAAAUCUCCUUCGACGAGUCGAGUAGUUUGGGAAUGCUGCUCUAAAUGGGAGGUAAAUUUCUUCUAAAGCUAAAUAUUGGCCAGAGACCGAUAGCGCACAAGUAGAGUGAUCGAAAGAUGAAAAGCACUUUGAAAAGAGGGUUAAAUAGCACGUGAAAUUGUUGAAAGGGAAGGAUUUGUGACCAGACUUUUUCUGGGCGGAUCAUCCGGGGUUCUCUCCGGUGCACUUCGCCCAGUAAAGGCCAGCAUCGGUUUUCGGCGUGGGAUAAAAGCAGUAGGAAUGUGGCUCUCUACGGGGAGUGUUAUAGCCUAUUGUAUAAUACCGCGCUGGGGACCGAGGUUCGCGCUUCUGCAAGGAUGCUGGCGUAAUGGUUAUCAAUCACCCGUCUUGAAACACGGACCAAGGAGUCGAACAUUUGUGCGAGUGUUUGGGUGUUAAACCCUCACGCGUAAUGAAAGUGAACGGAGGUGAGAGCCCUUACGGGUGCAUCAUCGACCGAUCCUGAAGUUUUCGGAUGGAUUUGAGUAAGAGCAUAACUGUUCGGACCCGAAAGAUGGUGAACUAUGCGUGGAUAGGGUGAAGCCAGAGGAAACUCUGGUGGAGGCUCGCAGCGGUUCUGACGUGCAAAUCGAUCGUCAAAUCUGCGCAUGGGGG